CGGGACGUGGCGCAGUUUGGUAGCGCACUGCUUUGGGAGCAGGGGGUCGCAGGUUCAAAUCCUGUCGUCCCGACAA
rnacentral:tRNA from 1 species